rnacentral:rRNA from 1 species
CACAGAGUUAGCCGGGGCUUCCUCUGGGGGUACCGUCAAGUUUGCCGGCUGUUUACCGACAUCCCUUCGUCCCCCCUAACAGGAGUUUACAAUCCGAAGACCUUCAUCCUCCACGCGGCGUUGCUGGAUCAGGGUUUCCCCCAUUGUCCAAUAUUCCCCACUGCUGCCUCCCGUAGGAGUCUGGACCGUGUCUCAGUUCCAGUGUGGCCGAUCACCCUCUCAGGCCGGCUACUGAUCGUCGCCUUGGUGGGCCAUUACCCCGCCAACUAGCUAAUCAGGCGCGGACCCCUCCAUGAGCGGUGGCUUGCAAGCAUAGGCCACCUUUCUGCGCAAGGCCGAAGCCUCGCGAACGUAUGCGGUAUAGCCCGUAGUUUCCCCAGGUUACUCCCCCACUCCGUUGGGGCCUAGGGUUCGUCCUACGGUUCGUUACCUCACCCGGUUUCGCCCGCUCUACACCGCGGCCGAAGCCGCUUUCGCGCACGACUUGCAGUGUGUUAAGCCACGCCGCCAGCGUUCAUUC